rnacentral:rRNA from 1 species
AUUGAACGCUGGCGGCAGGCCUAACACAUGCAAGUCGAGCGGAUGAUGGGAGCUUGCUCCUUGAUUCAGCGGCGGACGGGUGAGUAAUGCCUAGGAAUCUGCCUGGUAGUGGGGGACAACGUUUCGAAAGGAACGCUAAUACCGCAUACGUCCUACGGGAGAAAGCAGGGGACCUUCGGGCCUUGCGCUAUCAGAUGAGCCUAGGUCGGAUUAGCUUGUUGGUGAGGUAACGGCUCACCAAGGCGACGAUCCGUAACUGGUCUGAGAGGAUGAUCAGUCACACUGGAACUGAGACACGGUCCAGACUCCUACGGGAGGCGGCAGUGGGGAAUAUUGGACAAUGGGCGAAAGCCUGAUCCAGCCAUGCCGCGUGUGUGAAGAAGGUCUUCGGAUUGUAAAGCACUUUAAGUUGGGAGGAAGGGUUGUAGAUUAAUACUCUGCAAUUUUGACGUUACCGACAGAAUAAGCACCGGCUAACUCUGUGCCAGCCGCCGCGGUAAGAC